GGCAUAAGCAAACCGGAUUCUAACUCCUAACACAUUAAUACCGCAAGACCUUAAUAUACAUAACAAGACAUUAACGUGGAGGUUUCGAAACGUAAAAUACUCACUGAAUUAACAAAACAGCCGCAGCCCCAUAUCAACCUGGCAGCGGCUCCGUCAGCCACCUCAAGCGGCAGCGGCAAUGAAAGACUCCGACAACCGCGACUGCACAACAACGUCAUGACGAUAAAGACCCAUGAAUAGAAAGGAAUGAAGACCAAAUGCAAGGACCCUUACCGGCAGUGGUUUUCCAGGCGACAUGAGCUGCA